UUUAUGAGUUUGACUCUGGCUCUGGAUGAACGCGAGCAACGUGUUUUGACACAUGCGAGUAAUAUUUUAUCUAUUAAGAUAUUGCGAACGGGUGAGUAAUAUUGGGUGUUUUUUUUUCAUUUUUGUGCGUAACUGCGCUUAACCAACUUGGUCGAAAAAUGAAUAUCUUCUUGGAUUAAACGUUAGUUCUUACUAGUUGAUUAUUCCUAGUUAGGUUGAGAGAUUAUCUAAUCACAUAGGGACUGAAAAGGGCCCUACCAUCGGCAGCAGUGGAGAGUAUUGGUCAAUGAGGUUUUUACCUUGAACCAGCGCUUUGCGGGGGUGAAUGU
rnacentral:rRNA from 1 species